rnacentral:rRNA from 1 species
GCCACCAUUUAAAGAGUGCGUAAUAGCUCACUGGUCGAGAGACCCUGCGCCGAAGAUUACCGGGGCUAAAGUACGAAACCGAAGCUGUGGCUACGACAUAUGUCGUGGGGUAGGGGAGCGUUCUGUGAGGGCUGAAGUCGUUCUGUAAGGAACGGUGGACUUCACAGAAGUGAGAAUGUUGGUAUGAGUAGCGAAAAGAAUGGUGAGAAUCCAUUCCACCGAAAGCAUAAGGAUUCCUGGGCAACGAUCGUCGUCCCAGGGUAAGUCGGGACCUAAUCCGAGGCAUGGAGCGUAGGAGAUGGACAACUGGCAGAUAUUCCAGUACCGGUAAUGAUUGUUUGAGCGAUGGAGUGACACAGGAGGGCAGGCAGGCAGGAGAUUGGUUGUUCCUGUACAAGCGUGUAGGAUGGGACGCAGGCAAAUCCGCGUCCUGUGAGUCUGAGGCGUGAUGUGGAGGUUCCGGAAACGGAACUGAAGCUGCUGACCCCACACUGUCGAGAAAAGCUUCUAGUUAGAGAAUUACCGCCCGUACCGUAAACCGACACAGGUAUGCGGGGAGAGAAUCCUAAGGUGCGCGGGAGAACCCUCGUUAAGGAACUCGGCAAAAUGUACCCGUAACUUCGGGAUAAGGGUAGCCGCUGUUGUGAAGUCUGAACAGACGGAGCAUGAGGCGGUCGCAGAGAAGAGGCCCAAGCGACUGUUUACCACAAACACAGGUGCCUGCUAAAGAGAAAUCUGACGUAUAGGUGCUGACACCUGCCCAGUGCCGGAAGGUUAAGGAAGGAUGUCCGGAGCAAUCCAAAGCAUUCGACCGAAGCCCCGGUGAACGGCGGCCGUAACUAUAACGGUCCUAAGGUAGCGAAAUUCCUUGUCGGGUAAGUUCCGACCCGCACGAAAGGUGUAACGAUUUGGGCACUGUCUCAACGAGGGACCCGGUGAAAUUGAAGUACCUGUGAAGAUGCAGGUUACCCGCGACUGGACAGAAAGACCCCAUGGAGCUUUACUGUAACCUGACAUUGGGUUCUGAUACAUCACGUACAGGAUAGGUGGGAGGCAUGGAAGCGAGGACGCUAGUCUUCGUGGAGCCGCCGUUGGGAUACCACCCUUGAUGUAUCGGAAUUCUAACCGUAGGAGUAACGAAACUCGGGACAGUGUCAGGCGGGCAGUUUGACUGGGGCGGUCGCCUCCCAAAGAGUA